rnacentral:rRNA from 1 species
UGAACGCUGGCGGCGUGCCUAAUACAUGCAAGUCGAGCGAACGGACGAGAAGCUUGCUUCUCUGAUGUUAGCGGCGGACGGGUGAGUAACACGUGGAUAACCUACCUAUAAGACUGGGAUAACUUCGGGAAACCGGAGCUAAUACCGGAUAAUAUUUUGAACCGCAUGGUUCAAAAGUGAAAGACGGUCUUGCUGUCACUUAUAGAUGGAUCCGCGCUGCAUUAGCUAGUUGGUAAGGUAACGGCUUACCAAGGCAACGAUGCAUAGCCGACCUGAGAGGGUGAUCGGCCACACUGGAACUGAGACACGGUCCAGACUCCUACGGGAGGCAGCAGUAGGGAAUCUUCCGCAAUGGGCGAAAGCCUGACGGAGCAACGCCGCGUGAGUGAUGAAGGUCUUCGGAUCGUAAAACUCUGUUAUUAGGGAAGAACAUAUGUGUAAGUAACUGUGCACAUCUUGACGGUACCUAAUCAGAAAGCCACGGCUAACUACGUGCCAGCAGCCGCGGUAAUACGUAGGUGGCAAGCGUUAUCCGGAAUUAUUGGGCGUAAAGCGCGCGUAGGCGGUUUUUUAAGUCUGAUGUGAAAGCCCACGGCUCAACCGUGGAGGGUCAUUGGAAACUGGAAAACUUGAGUGCAGAAGAGGAAAGUGGAAUUCCAUGUGUAGCGGUGAAAUGCGCAGAGAUAUGGAGGAACACCAGUGGCGAAGGCGACUUUCUGGUCUGUAACUGACGCUGAUGUGCGAAAGCGUGGGGAUCAAACAGGAUUAGAUACCCUGGUAGUCCACGCCGUAAACGAUGAGUGCUAAGUGUUAGGGGGUUUCCGCCCCUUAGUGCUGCAGCUAACGCAUUAAGCACUCCGCCUGGGGAGUACGACCGCAAGGUUGAAACUCAAAGGAAUUGACGGGGACCCGCACAAGCGGUGGAGCAUGUGGUUUAAUUCGAAGCAACGCGAAGAACCUUACCAAAUCUUGACAUCCUUUGACAACUCUAGAGAUAGAGCCUUCCCCUUCGGGGGACAAAGUGACAGGUGGUGCAUGGUUGUCGUCAGCUCGUGUCGUGAGAUGUUGGGUUAAGUCCCGCAACGAGCGCAACCCUUAAGCUUAGUUGCCAUCAUUAAGUUGGGCACUCUAAGUUGACUGCCGGUGACAAACCGGAGGAAGGUGGGGAUGACGUCAAAUCAUCAUGCCCCUUAUGAUUUGGGCUACACACGUGCUACAAUGGACAAUACAAAGGGCAGCGAAACCGCGAGGUCAAGCAAAUCCCAUAAAGUUGUUCUCAGUUCGGAUUGUAGUCUGCAACUCGACUACAUGAAGCUGGAAUCGCUAGUAAUCGUAGAUCAGCAUGCUACGGUGAAUACGUUCCCGGGUCU